rnacentral:rRNA from 1 species
GCUGGCGGCGUGCCUAACACAUGCAAGUCGAACGAGAAAGUGGAGCAAUCCAUGAGUAAAGUGGCGACCGGGUGAGUAACACGUGACUAACCUACCUCUUAGUGGGGAAUAACUCCGGGAAACCGGGGCUAAUACCGCAUAACACCGCAAGGUCAAAGCAGCAAUGCGCUGGGAGAGGGGGUCGCGGCUGAUUAGCUAGUUGGCGGGGUAACGGCCCACCAAGGCGAAGAUCGGUAUCCGGCCUGAGAGGGCGCACGGACACACUGGAACUGAAACACGGUCCAGACUCCUACGGGAGGCAGCAGUGGGGAAUUUUGCGCAAUGGGGGAAACCCUGACGCAGCAACGCCGCGUGGAGGAUGAAGCCCUUUGGGGCGUAAACUCCUUUCGACCAAGACGAUAAUGACGGUACUGGUGGAAGAAGCACCGGCUAACUCUGUGCCAGCAGCCGCGGUAAUACAGAGGGUGCAAGCGUUGUUCGGAAUUAUUGGGCGUAAAGGGCGCGUAGGCGGUGCCUCAAGUCACCUGUGAAAUCUCUGGGCUUAACUCAGAGCCUGCAGGCGAAACUGUGGUGCUG